GACGAACGCUGGCGGCGUGCUUAACACAUGCAAGUCGAACGGAAAGGCCCUGCUUUUGUGGGGUGCUCGAGUGGCGAACGGGUGAGUAACACGUGAGUAACCUGCCCUUGACUUUGGGAUAACUUCAGGAAACUGGGGCUAAUACCGUAUAGGAGCUCCUGCUGCAUGGUGGGGGUUGGAAAGUUUCGGCGGUUGGGGAUGGACUCGCGGCUUAUCAGCUUGUUGGUGGGGUAGUGGCUUACCAAGCCUUUGACGGGUAGCCGGCCUGAGAGGGUGACCGGCCACAUUGGGACUGAGAUACGGCCCAGACUCCUACGGGAGGCAGCAGUGGGGAAUAUUGCACAAUGGGAGGAAGCCUGAUGCAGCAACGCCGCGUGCGGGAUGACGGCCUUCGGGUUGUAAACCGCUUUCGCCUGUGACGAAGCGUGAGUGACGGUAAUGGGUAAAGAAGCACCGGCUAACUACGUG
rnacentral:rRNA from 1 species